CCCCUCCCCGUGCAUAUCUGCACACACGCUCCCAGGGAGCCCCGGCGGACAGACGCGAGAAAACAGAGGGGCCCCGAGCGCCUACGUGGAGCGCGCACACACUGAUGCCACGCUUUCCACGGUGGGAAGGAAAUGAAGCGCGCAGUGGCCAGAGCCCGGCGGAGAGCAACAGACCACUGGAGCAGGCUGCCCAGAUAGGUUGUGGAGUCUCCUACUUGGAGAUAUUCAAGACCCACCUGGACACCUUCCUUUGCAACCUAUGAACUAGUUUUCCACUCGUGAUGCUCAAAGUGGCAAAAAUAUUAUAGAAGAAAACUAUUGGAUUGUCAAGUUGUAUUAUAAAUACAAGACCUGGAUGCAAUGGACUCAUGCAUAAUCUUUCUGUGUAAGACAUUUGCCAUCUGCCUACCACUCCCAUCUUGAGUAGAGAAGGCUGCUGGAAGACACGAUACAGGCCUCAAAUAUGUCAAAGAUUCUUCAUCAAGGAAAGAAAAAAGCGUUUUUCUGCUUGCCAUGUGUAAGAUCAGAAAUGAUGAGCUGUAAUUGUUCAAGAGGCAUUUAAGUGCGAAAUUGGGAAAAAAUGUCUAAUGGUAAAUACUGCAGAAAGACAGAAACAAAUGACUAAGGAAGGUGUGCAGUGUCUGUAAUGAGAAAUUCUUUAGCAACGCUGAGAAACAUCUAUCAUGAAUAGGUUAUAAUCCUAUCCUGCCUUUUUAAGGGGAAAAGGAGAGCAAAUUAAAUGUUGUUCGAAGAUCUUUUUUCCAUUUUCCAUGAUUCUAUGAUUAUUUUUCUUUUAUCUGUGGCUCCUGCAAGACUUUUCCCCUGGUCACCUACCAACUCCCAUGGAGCCAGGCAGCCUGACCAGGACCAUGUUUCAGAUAACUGGAAGAACUCAGUGAUCGCAAACACAGCUGCCUUUUCUCCAGCUCUCCAUGUCCCUCCAGCCGGAAUUGCUCCAGAGGGAGAGUAGGUGCAGUGCAGCUUGGACAGGUAGCAGCCCACAUUUACUGAGGGACCUCUGUUUUUCCAGAGUCGUAGAGCAAAUCAUCACCAUUAAUCUGAGGUGUGUCCCUCUCACCUUCCCUGAUGGCAAAUCCUACAGGUGGAAGAGAUUAAUAAUAUGCAAAGCAGGAAUGGUCACAGAGUCAGAGUUCAGAAAGCUGAAAGAAUCAAUCUACUGGUAUAGGUGUGUGUGCACAGAAAUGAAGAUAUUGACAUGAGAAAAUAACAGUGGAAUCAGAAGAAACAAGAAAUGGUUCCUAGAUCUGGGCAGUCAUAGGCAUCAUCAUUAUUGCAGUACGGGAAAAAAAAUAAUGGAGCAAGUUACAGAACGUGUCAACUUCUGACCUGUGAAAUAAAUGAUGCAAUAAAAAGCUAUCAGCUGGAUGCCAGUCUUCACCAUAUUUUAUCAACCACCAAAACAGAUUAACAUAGUUAAUAAGUUAGGAAAUACUGUCACUGGAUAUGUAUUUUACAAUAUGGUUAUUUCUGUAAUAUAUAUAGGAAAGGCUUCUGCC
rnacentral:lncRNA from 1 species